UAAACUCAAUAAUUUAGGUAAAAGAUCAUGUAACUUACUUUGAUUAGAGUCGUAUAUAAAAUUAUAGUACGAUAUAUAUUUUUAUUCAUAUUUACACUUGAUAUCUACUACCACUCUAUCAUUAUACUCAAAUAUAUAUCUUAACAAUUGCACAUUCAGUUCAAAUAAUCUAAUUUUAGAGUAACUUAAUAGACUAUUACUCCAACCUAAUCGUUUAAUUUCUUUGUGUUUAAUAUAUUAUGUUGACUAAUCCCCCCCGUCCCAAAAAAAAAAAAAAAAGAUACUAACUGGAUAAGGGCAAAACCAGAAAUAACAAUAAGACACUUUCCGUCUUUCCCUUUUGCUUCCUCUUCCUGCUCCUCCUCUUUGUCCUUUCUUUGUUUCACACUUUAUAUUAUUGAAAUUUUGCAUACAGUAAUUUUCUUAAUUUAUAGUUUUAUGAAGAAUUUUUGAAUUUUAACUUGAAGUUUAAUAAUGAAUUUUGAGAAUUAUUUUAUUUUAGAGUUAGAUCUAACAUAUAGGGAUCAAACAUGAAUAUUGAAGGUGGAGAAAUCUACAGGGAAGAAGAUGAAUGAGAGAAAAUCUAUUUUUUCACCAAGUCUUGUUCAAGGCCUCUUGAAAGUCUUCUUUUCUGAAAAUGUUGUAGAGGAUGUAGAUGUGGAUAGGAAUGAGAGGGCUAUGAAAACGCGUAGCACUUUAAAAAUUCUGUUGAAGUUGUUGACGAUACUGGCAUCUUUGGGAAUAUUAUUAAGGACCUCACGAGUGUUGAACAUUUGAAGGACCGUGAUUCAACUCGGACCAAUUUGUCACUCCUAGCCAGCUUUGCUCGACAAGGGAGUUACUUGCUUAGGCUUCCAUUGGUUGGCCAAGAUAUUUUUGAAGACGUACAACAGCUUCCUUUCCUUUCUUCCUCCCUUCUCAAUCAAAAUUAUUCAUGUUGAGAAAAUGGCACUGGAACUAGCUUGUUCUCUACUACUUAUUACACAGGUGUAUUUCUUUUAUGCAGAUUGCUCCUGAAAAAAAUUAUUUUUCAAUGCUUCCUUGAGACAUUUUUUCUACACAUGGAAUUAUGUGAAUGGUCCAGUCUCCCUCGAUAGUGGGUGUCAAUUAUUAGGAAUGGGGAAGAAUGAAUUAGCAAAGAUGAUAUGUUGAUUAUUCAAGUUUUUUGUUACCUCGGUGUUUCAAAUUUAGAUGACACGAUGCCUUACAAUCGUGGAUAGGCUCCUUAUUCCAAGUCACCAGUUCUAUUAUGAGAAAUUGAAGACGACCAGACCUUUAAUAGAUGAAGAACAAAGUGAACCCUCUGAAAAGGGGAAAAAAUAAAACUUUGUCUAUGUAUUCUCUUUAAAGAGAAAAGGAAGGCACGUGUGGAUAUAUAGUACACCACUAAUCGAAUGAGGUCACAAAUGGCCAUAAAUUAUUUGAAUUCAAUGUACCAUUUGAAUAGCUUUCAAUCCAAUUGGUUAUAGUUGUGUUGUUACAACCUCAAUGUACAAUUUCAAGAGCUUUAAUCCUAUUAUGUAGAAAGUAGAGGAUGUAACUUAACUCAUAUUUUUUGGAGUUACUAUUGUGAAGUUUAUAGAUGUCGUAUUAAUAUCACAUGUCAUUCACUUGAGCUUUGAGAGAGAAAACCUAGCCCGAGAAAUUUUUAUUUAGUUUUAAAACAAGAAGGAAAGAAUGUUCUUCCAGACACACUUGAGCAAUGAAAGAUGGAAGUGGUGAUUCAAGGUCUGCUUUGCCAGGUAUAUGUUAUUCUACAAGUUAAUCACACAUAUUCAUGGUGAAAUUUUAAAGUUAUACAUCCUCUUUAAAAUCAUUGUAAAUUUCUGCAACUAUGUGGCCGCCUUCGUAUGAAUUUUUCCUCAAAUUAAUUU